GGAGGGUAUAGCUCAGUGGUAGAGCGCAUGCCUAGCAUGCAUGAGGUCCUGGGUUCAAUCCCCAGUACCUCCU
rnacentral:tRNA from 1 species